rnacentral:rRNA from 1 species
AUUGAACGCUGGCGGCAGGCCUAACACAUGCAAGUCGAACGAGUGGCGGACGGGUGAGUAAUGUCUGGGAAACUGCCCGAUGGAGGGGGAUAACUACUGGAAACGGUAGCUAAUACCGCAUACCAUCGGAUGUGCCCAGAUGGGAUUAGCUUGUAGGUGAGGGAACGGCUCACCUAGGCGACGAUCCCUAGCUGGUCUGAGAGGAGGACCAGCCACACGGGAACGGAGACACGGUCCAGACGCCUACGGGAGGCAGCAGGGGGGAAUAUUGCACAGUGGGCGCAAGCCUGAUGCAGCCAGGCCGCGUGGAUGAAGAAGGCCUUCGGGUUGUAAAGUACUUGCAGCGGGGAGGCGUUACCCGCAGAAGAAGCACCGGCUAACUCCGGGCCAGCAGCCGCGGUAAUAC